UACGAAGGGGGCUAGCGUUGCUCGGAAUUACUGGGCGUAAAGCGCACGUAGGCGGCUUUCUAAGUCGGGGGUGAAAUCCUGGAGCUCAACUCCAGAACUGCCUUCGAUACUGGAGAGCUCGAGUCCGGGAGAGGUGAGUGGAACUGCGAGUGUAGAGGUGAAAUUCGCAGAUAUUCGCAAGAACACCAGUGGCGAAGGCGGCUCACUGGCUCGGUACUGACGCUGAGGUGCGAAAGCGUGGGGAGCAAACAGG
rnacentral:rRNA from 1 species